CAUGUUUACUGGUGUGUGUGUGUGUGUGUGUGUGUAGACACACACACACACACACACACACACGUGUGUUGAAUAUG